UACGUAGGUGGCAAGCGUUGUCCGGAAUUAUUGGGCGUAAAGAGCUCGUAGGCGGUUUGUCACGUCUGCUGUGAAAUCCCGAGGCUCAACCUCGGGCCUGCAGUGGGUACGGGCAGACUGGAGUGCGGUAGGGGAGAAUGGAAUUCCUGGUGUAGCGGUGGAAUGCGCAGAUAUCAGGAGGAACACCGAUGGCGAAGGCAGUUCUCUGGGCCGUAACUGACGCUGAGGAGCGAAAGCGUGGGGAGCGAACAGG
rnacentral:rRNA from 1 species